UCCGUCGGCAGGGAGUCGAACCCGGUCAGCUGUUUGUGAAACAGCUAUUCUGACUGUUGCAUUACCGGCGC